ACAUUUUUAAAAGUCGUUGAUCCAGAGAUACAAUGUAACCUUGAAGAAUAAAAGCAAGUUAUGCUAUGAAAGAUAUUAUUAUGUGCUUCAAACCAAUCAAAUCAAGUCUCAAGAGUUGUUAACUUUAUGCAGUACAUGUCCAGAAUACUGACUCAUAAUACUAAUCUUGAGCAUGAUUUCUCAUUAAUGACUGACUCUUCAGUGGCCAAAGCAACAAAAUAAGUUUGAUGUGACCACUGCAGAAGCCAUGCUAGUUAAAAUGUAAAUGGAACACAGACCAGAACUGAAAGGAAUUUUAUAAGCAAAUUCUGCAAAAUAAUGAGGAAGUAGUAAGAAGAAAAAAUCACCAAGGAAAUUUAAUGAAAGAAAAAGGAAGUUUUGCUGUGGGAGGAAGAAGGAAUGUCUGGGAAUAGAUGGAAGGACCCCAUCCAUGCCUUUGGACUGACUUGAGCACUUUCUAGAGAGAGUAGACAUAACAAGAAGGUGAUGGGUCAUUUCAAGAUGGACUUUCCAACAUUCAGCGCAGAACAGAACUGCUCAAGGACCCAGGUGACCUGGUGCAGCUCAGAAGGAGCCAAUCCAGUCCUAGCCCUGCAGGAAAUGCUCUGCUGUGGGGCAUAGGAGAGUCCCUGGUCUCUUAUGAUGGUUGAGGCAGAGGCGAUGCGCCUCCAAGGGGAUUUAGGAGCACAGACAUGAAGAAAUGGGGCUGAAGAUCAGAAAAAGGCCAGAGGCAGCCUGGGAACCACAGGGCAGGUGAUUUUAUGGUCUCUUGUCAGCCUCCUUUUAGCCUUCCAGACAGAAAUGGGGCACUCUGAGAAGUGCAGAGGUUCCAUUAUUGUGGACGUGUGCUGGGGAGUCAGCAGUCAAGUGGGCUACAGAAAGAAACAUGGAUGCUACUUGAGAGAGUAUGUUGGUCCCAGAGGAACAUGACUGGGGCAGGCCCUGCUUACAGACCUUACAAAAAGCUCUCCCAGUCUUCCUUUUAGUAAUAGGCUAUAUCACUUUGAGGUUAGCCACUCUCCAUAGGAUUAUAUUUUUCUGACAAAAAUCUUGCUAAUAUGUUUUGAACUGAAGAGAUACAUUCAUCCUCUGGAGCAUGUUACUGAAAGAAAACUGUAUUUUCUUUCUUCUGAUAAAUUGGAAUGAGGUGGCCAACCACAUCCAAAACAAUGUAGGCUGAAUCUUCUACCUUGGGGAUGAAGAUACCACUCUGGGACAGAUGAUGAUGGAAACAUUGCACGUCUGUACUGCCCCAGACAGUAACCACUAGGCACAUACACAGAGGUCUCACUAUGAUGCCCAGGCUGGCUUCAAACUCCUGACUCAAGUGAUUCUCUGACCUCAACUUCUGGAGAAGCUGAAAUUUCUGUUAUGGUUUGAAUAUGAAGUGUCCCACAACAGCUCCUGUAUUAAUGCAGGAAUAUUCAGAGGUGAAAUGAUUAAGUUAUGAGAGCCGUAACCCAAUCAGUCCAUCCUAGUUUGAAUGGACUGACUGGGUGGUGAGGUGUGAGGAGAGGAGGUGGGACACUAAGAUUGUGCCCCAGAAGGGUGCAUCUUCCCUGUGGUCCCUUUCCUAUCCUCUCUGUCUGCUUCCUGACCCCACCAUGAUCUGAAUAGCUUUCCUCCA